AGCAGCAGCAGCAGCAGCAGCAGCAGCAGCAGCGGCGCUCAGCUCUUGGGAGGCAGAGACAGUGAAAUCCCAGCUGUAGCAACGUGGAACUGAGACUUCAGGGCUAAAGUUGGUUGAGGAGAAAUUCUUGGAAACUGAAGAACAUCUGAACUGGGGACUUCAUGAUGCUCCUGAAUGUAGAGAGAAUGCCUGGAAGCCUGUACCUGGAAUAUCAGUCUUGAGGACUAGGAGAGAGAUGGUCUGCUACAGUGGUCACUAAUUCUCACUGUAGACAGUGGACCUUGAACGGCUUUGAUGUGCCAACCAAUCGAUCAAGGCUCAGUUCUUCUACCUGACUUCUUUAUCAACACCUGUAGUCUGAGAUACCUCUACUGCAAAUAACCGCAGGGCUGAGUAUCAGGGAACAACGACCCACCCUGUAGUCCAGAGCCCACCAAAUUCUGAAAGUGUCCGGUUCUGGGCUAGGGCAGUCGCCUGCAGGGCUAGGAUAGCCAUCUAUACCGCUUUUCAUUACUUCCCAUGAAAAUGACCAUGAAGACUUUGGUUCCCACUUGACACUCCUUCCUUCGGCCUCUUUACCCUUACUCUUCCUAACCUACUGUUCCCAGGAAACCCUACAGUGUGGCACGCUGCCUCCUCUUGGUAACUGUAACAAAACAUCUUUUCCUUCCUUUGCUGUCUCCUCCCUUCCUCUCCACUUCCUUCUUUUUCUUUUUUCCUUCCAUUUUUUUCUGUCCUAAUAGGAUCUCACUAUAUAGCCUAGGCUGGCCUGGAACUUGGGAGCUUCCUGCCCUAAGCCGUAGAGUGCUGAAGUUACAGACACAGCCACCAUGUCUGGCACAGCCCAUCCUUUCAAAGGCAGUUUAAUUUCUGCUCUAUUGACCUCCCCAUACCUGCAUGAGAGAAAAAAUUCCAUGAACACUGUAAAAGAAUUUCUUACCAAGUGCCUGAUUCUUCUAAAUCUUAUCAGUCAUCCCUCCACUUGUGUGUAAAUCAAGGAUUUAAAUCCCAAAUAUUCUCUGAAAAAAAUCACUGAAAGAACACUUUUAUCACAAUAGGAUGAAAUAGAUAGGUGCUGUGGUAGAGAAGCAGCUGAAUGCUUGUUCCUGCUGUGUUUGCUGGCAUACUGUUGUCCCUUCUUUGUGCCACCAUACCCCAAAGCAGAUGGCAUGUGGAAGGAGCCCAGCACACACUUCACAGGGCACCAAGGGUAGCUUGGGGCAGUUGCGCUUUCUGUCCAACCAAAGCCUCAUGCCAUCAUUCAACACCCUCUGCACAAGGUUCUGACACUUUGUGGGGACCAGGCUCCCUCGUCAGAAAGCCUUAGAAAGGCAAAGGCAGAGAGAUUGAACAAGGGCUCAGAAGCUCACCCUUUGAGAGCUUGCCUUGCAACUCAGUGCCCCUGGGUAUGCUGGGAAAACAGACUGCCUCACACAAUGGCUCGGAAAGCAUAGCAGCCAGUGGAACAGAGUGAGCUGUGGGUAGCUAUCGCUCUCUCUCUCCAUCUAUUCAUUUGUGCUCACUGUCCUGUGAAAACCCGCUCUCUGUGAAAUUGGUGGAGUCAUGAUUUUGGGGAUGGACCAUCUGCCUGGUUCCAAAUGGAAUUCAUGAACUUGGAGAAAUUUGCAUGAACUGUUCAUUGCAGCAAGAGGAAUUCAUUCAUUCCACAGCUCCGAGGUUUUAUACUUUUUCUGGACCACAGCCUGCAUGAAGGGUGUCAGACCUUUCCAUUAGUGGUGCGGCUCCUUUCAUUUUAUUUUGUUUUCUUCUUUCCAAAUCCAUUGCCUUCGACCUUAAUAUAAUCAGCAGCAAAUCCAUUGUGCCUUGGUCUUCCUGAAGCUCUCCGUCCUAUUUCAAAUCAAAAACCUUCUUCCUCUGAGGGCCGUGUUGUAGUACAUUUGUAUUUUACAUUGGUAGACAUGAAAAUAAAUCAAAAUGGCAUGCUAUUCUAUCUAUUUGCAAAGAAAGAAAACCUAAUUAGGUAAACAGGGGAAUGGGAAUGCUGAUUAAUUUAAUUAUUUGUUUAGCCGCGGGCCAAACACAAAGCUUUUUGUGGUUUUGAAUCCUGGAAACAAAAGUAUCUUUGCACUGUACUGGCUCACAGUUUCCUUAGCAGAGAGAACAUGUGGUCAGUUGUGAUAAUUCAGUUGCUUAGGGUGCCUCAAAAUUUGUUCAUAUGAAUAUCAAGUCUAUUGACAUGAACGAUUCGAUUAAAUUUUUAUGCGUUUUCAACACACGUUAUGGAAAAACUUCUUCUUAAAAGAAAUCAGUUUUUAGUGAUUUGCAACUUGGCAAGGCCUGUAAUCCAAGCUACGUGGGGGCUAAGGAGGACGAUAUCAGAUUGAAAACCUGCCUGCCUAAGCAAUUUACAGAACAAUAUCCUGUCUCUAAAAUAGCAACCACGGAAAGGGAUGGGGGCAAUAGUGCCAGAGUAGGUACCAGCAUGCACAAGGACCUAGGCUCAAGCUACAGUAACAGACUUAUAUUGUAUACUUCAUAACAGGAAAAAGGGGUUAUCUCAAAUGAAUACCAUGUGGCAGAAUUUGCAGGUAGAGAGAUUUUUUUUUUUCCCAGUGAGUUAAUGGGUUGAUGUUUAUUUUCAGGUCUAUUUUUUUGAGAAAAGUUUUUCAGUUUUUCUUAACCAGGGUAUGCAAUAACACAGGAAAGAAAACAUAUCUUCAAAAUCCAUUCCUCUGGGAUCCCCUCUGAGAGCUCAUUUAUAUGUCUUUAAAACCACGAGUGAGCACCCAGAGAGACAAGCGCCUACAGCCUGAGGUGUUGGUGCACUCCUGUGAUCCCAGCACGUGGGAGGCUGAGGCAGGAGAACAGAGAGUUGAAGGGCAGCCUGGGCUAUGUAGCAAGAUUCCCAUCUCUAAAACUAAAACAAAACCAAGAAACAAAUGUCGCUGUUGGUCUGUCUGAGUGUGGGAGAGCCACAGGCCUGUCUUCACCAGCGAGGAGCCAGGAUGUUACAAAGGGCUCCUCUAUUUUGUGUUUAGUUUCUUGAUUUCUUAGGUGGGACUUGGAGGUCCCCAACACUACCAGCUUCAGGAUGAUGUGACUGUAUGACUCCAGAUGGUUAUGGUGUGUAUGUGAAUGCUGGUAAUAAACCAUUUCUGUUUGCCUGGAAUUGAGGCAGCUCCUCGGGUCUUGGGAAUUUUAGCUAACCCCGAGGAAAUUCAAGGCGAACUGGGAGCAGUUGGUUUGGAGUGGUCAUGCAGUUUUGGGGUGAGAGACAUUCUGAACCAUACAAUGUCCUAUGGGUCUCAAGAUGUUGGUGUAACGAGAGUAAAGAGACUGCAGACCAGUAAAGCAUUUUGCACACAAUCCAGCACACCAAUGCAAAGUAAUGUGAGCUAAUUGCUACUGUUUUCCUCUUGAGCUUCCUCGGCUCUCUUUGUAUUGGUGGCAAUUUUGUGUGGAUGGAAACUCUUAAAUGAUGUACUCAGUAAACUGGUUCUUUAUGGAAUCCAGAAUGUUCAGUAAGUCUGCUGGCCUGAAGGACUGGGGCAAACACCCACCAUGACUCAUUGACCUCAGUUUACCUCUGCUGGAAAUAAGCAUAAAAUCAGAAAGCCUUUUUCACUCAGAGAUGACCAUAAUUUGUUUACACACCACAUAGAUGUCAGUCACUUGCCCGCAAUAGCUAAUCUAAGCAAAAGUACUACUACAUAGGCCACAUUAUAAAAGUGGAAGAGGAAACCAAGACUAAGAAUUUCUUUUGAAUGCCUAGGUUACCAUGGUUUCUGUUGGAUAGUGAAAGGGGAGGUGGGGGUUGUUAGCCAUUUACAAGGGAGAAAUAGGAUUCCUCUAUGUUUAUAAAGUCCCCUUGGUGUCUGGAAGGACAAUAGGAGCUAUGGAGGCUAACCGUCUGGGAUGCAAAUGCAUCUGACUUUUCCUUACACUAAUGACCUUAUCUAUGAAAAGGGGAAAGUAAUUUGGUCCCUGUGAAAAGAUUUGCUGAGAUGAUUGAAAAGGAAAAUCAAAGACUUGGCAAACCAAUCUCAGUUGGGUGUUCGGGAAGUCACAUUACAUAAGUGUACAAGCCUGCUCAGGGCCCCUCCCUGUCCAUUCUGCCAGGAGGAAGUACGCCUUGGUUAGCCCUGGACCCGAUGCAACCUAUAGCUAAGAUCCAUUCACUUGUCUUCCUAGGGUAAUCAUAAUAGAGUAAUCAUA